GACGAACGCUGGCGGCGUGCUUAACACAUGCAAGUCGAACGGAAAGGCCCUGCUUUUGUGGGGUGCUCGAGUGGCGAACGGGUGAGUAACACGUGAGUAACCUGCCCUUGACUUUGGGAUAACUUCAGGAAACUGGGGCUAAUACCGGAUAGGAGCUCCUGCUGCAUGGUGGGGGUUGGAAAGUUUCGGCGGUUGGGGAUGGACUCGCGGCUUAUCAGCUUGUUGGUGGGGUAGUGGCUUACCAAGGCUUUGACGGGUAGCCGGCCUGAGAGGGUGACCGGCCACAUUGGGACUGAGAUACGGCCCAGACUCCGACGGGAGGCAGCAGUGGGGAAUAUUGCACAAUGGGCGGAAGCCUGACGCAGCCACGCCGCGUGCGGGAUGACGGCCUUCGGGUUGUAAACCGCUUUCGCCUGUGACGAAGCGUGAGUGACGGUAAUGGGUAAAGAAGCACCGGCGAACUACGU
rnacentral:rRNA from 1 species